UUUCCAAAACAACAAAAGCUGCCGAUUUCUCAAUUUUAUUAAGAAAAACCAUUUAAGUAGACAAAUUUAAGCAUUAAAAACCGAAAUAAAACGACAAGCAGUCAUGGCGGAUGGCGCAUCAUGUGAAUUGCACAACGAGAACAAAGCGCCCCCAAUCAUGUGUUGCAAGCAUAUGUACGACUUAUCGAGCGUCCGGUGGCGAGGUCUGCCAUUUGGUGGAAGAGUUGAAUGGCACGCAAUUGAGGGACCACGCGGAACGACAGAUGUGCCAAAUGAACUGUUUGGCAGCCUGUUGCGGUCGGUAAAAGAUGAACGAUUCACUUUGCGGCUCCACUUGGGCAAGAGAUCCCAGAUCUUGGCUUCCAUGUCAAAAACGCAUGGACAGCCACCACCACAUCCCAGACAAUGUAGAGUAAUACUGCCCUAAAGUGCAGUUCGAAGAGUUCGAGGAGGAGAGAAGGAUUAAGCGAGAGACAGGAGAUUACAGGGAAUUUUGUGUUUCUAACUCCACAGUAAACCAUUGAAGAGACUGCCAGCAUUGUGAAGAAAGAUCGCAUCUCCUUCAGACGACUGCAGAGUUGUCUGAGCAUUCACGAGGAUGCCAUCGUUGCGCAGAGUAAGUCGCCUAUGCGUUCGAGUUCCUCAACGAUGCUUUCUACUGAUGCUCGGCCCCGAUUGCUUUGACUUCAACUUUGUCACAGGCAUGCGUGAAUGGUCUGAGCUCGACCGGAUGGCUUUCGCAGCCUGUGGGUCCACAGGCCUAGAUGAUUGAGCAAGGAUUCGUCAAGCUCUUCACUGAGGCACUGAGAAGAUAAUCGAAACCGUUGUUAUCAUGGAGCUGAAGGAAUCGUCUGCUGCUGCACUCUAAUAGAGUUGGCCGAUGGGGCCCGGUCCUGCAAUCGGUAUCAAAUCACAAUGUUGAGCUAACCAUUUGACGGUAGUCCAGCUAAAUCGCUAAUGCCCCCCCACUGCAACCAUUUUCCCGCAGAGGAUCGAUGAAGGCGAUGAGCGACUCCUACUUGUCUGCCGUCUAGAUUUCAUGUUCUCCAUCGAAGUGAACGAUUUCCAAUCUGAAAGCGAGGACGACUCUGAUUGGAGCGCAGGUUAAAAUUGUAUACCAAUAAAAGUGUAGCAUACUUUU